rnacentral:rRNA from 1 species
UACGAAGGGGGCUAGCGUUGCUCGGAAUCACUGGGCGUAAAGCGCACGUAGGCGGCUUUUUAAGUCAGGGGUGAAAUCCUGGAGCUCAACUCCAGAACUGCCUUUGAUACUGAGAGCUUGAGUCCGGGAGAGGUGAGUGGAACUGCGAGUGUAGAGGUGAAAUUCGUAGAUAUUCGCAAGAACACCAGUGGCGAAGGCGGCUCACUGGCCCGGUACUGACGCUGAGGUGCGAAAGCGUGGGGAGCAA